ACUGGUCGAGUCGGCCUGCGCGGAAGAUGUAACGGGGCUAAAAGAUACACCGAAGCCGCGGCAGCGAUAUGUAAAUAUUGUUGGGUAGGGGAGCGUUCUGUAAGCCUGUGAAGGUGUCCUGUGAGGGUUGCUGGAGGUAUCAGAAGUGCGAAUGCUGACAUAAGUAACGAUAAUGCGGGUGAAAAACCCGCACGCCGGAAGACCAAGGGUUCCUGUCCAACGUUAAUCGGGGCAGGGUGAGUCGACCCCUAAGGC
rnacentral:rRNA from 1 species